rnacentral:rRNA from 1 species
CAUACCGAAAGGUAUGCUAAUACGGGAUAAUAUAUUUGAGAGGCAUCUCUUGAAUAUCAAAGGUGAGCCAGUACAGGAUGGACCCGCGUCUGAUUAGCUAGUUGGUAAGGUAACGGCUUACCAAGGCGACGAUCAGUAGCCGACCUGAGAGGGUGAUCGGCCACAUUGGAACUGAGACACGGUCCAAACUCCUACGGGAGGCAGCAGUGGGGAAUAUUGCACAAUGGGCGAAAGCCGGAUGCAGCAACGCCGCGUGAGUGAUGAAGGCCUUCGGGUCGUAAAACUCUGUCCUCAAGGAAGAUAAUGACGGUACUUGAGGAGGAAGCCCCGGCUAACUACGUGCCAGCAGCCGCGGUAAUACGUA